UACGUAGGUGGCAAGCGUUGUCCGGAAUUAUUGGGCGUAAAGCGCGCGCAGGCGGUUCUUUAAGUCUGAUGUGAAAGCCCACGGCUCAACCGUGGAGGGUCAUUGGAAACUGGAGGACUUGAGUACAGAAGAGGAAAGCGGAAUUCCACGUGUAGCGGUGAAAUGCGUAGAGAUGUGGAGGAACACCAGUGGCGAAGGCGGCUUUCUGGUCUGUAACUGACGCUGAGGAGCGAAAGCAUGGGGAGCGAACAGG
rnacentral:rRNA from 1 species